rnacentral:rRNA from 1 species
CCAGACUCCUACGGGAGGCAGCAGUGGGGAAUAUUGCACAAUGGGCGCAAGCCUGAUGCAGCCAUGCCGCGUGCAUGAAGAAGGCCUUCGGGUUGUAAAGUACUUUUAGCGGGGAGGAAGGUGUUGUGGUUAAUAACCACAGCAAUUGACAUUACCCACAGAAGAAGCACCGGCUAACUCCGUGCCAGCACCCGCGGUAAUACGGAGGGUGCAAGCGCUAAUCGGAAUUACUGGGCGUAAAGCGCACGCAGGCGGGCUGGCAAGUCGGAUGUGAAAUCCCCGGGCUCAACCUGGGAACUGCAUUCGAAACUGGCAGGCUGGAGGCUUGGAGAAGGGGGUAGAAUUCCAGGUGGAGGGGUGAAAUGCGUA